rnacentral:rRNA from 1 species
GUGAGGAAUAUUGGUCAAUGGGCGCAAGCCUGAACCAGCCAUGCCGCGUGCAGGAAGACGGUCCUAUGGAUUGUAAACUGCUUUUAUUUGGGAAUAAACUCCGGUACGUGUACCGGCCUGAAGGUACCAAAUGAAUAAGCACCGGCUAACUCCGUGCCAGCAGCCGCGGUAAUACGGAGGGUGCAAGCGUUAUCCGGAAUCAUUGGGUUUAAAGGGUCCGCAGGCGGUCUUAUAAGUCAGUGGUGAAAGCCUACAGCUCAACUGUAGAACUGCAAUUGAUACUGUAGGACUUGAAUUCGAUCGAAGUGGGCGGAAUGUGACAUGUAGCGGUGAAAUGCUUAGAUAUGUCACAGAACACCGAUAGCGAAGGCAGCUCACUAGGUCUGGAUUGACGCUCAGGGACGAAAGCGUGGGGAGCAAACAGGAUUAGAUACCCCAGUAGUCC